rnacentral:snRNA from 1 species
CCCACCUUCGGGUGGGCAUAACUAAAAUUGGAACGAUACAGAGAAGAUUAGCAUUGCCCCUGCAUAAGGAUGACACAAAAAUGAGACAGAGAGGUGGACUUCGGUCCAAAUAUUUUU